rnacentral:rRNA from 1 species
GACGAACGCUGGCGGCGUGCCUAAUACAUGCAAGUAGAACGCUGAAGCGAGGAGCUUGCUCUUCUUGGCUGAGUUGCGAACGGGUGAGUAACGCGUAGGUAACCUGCCUGGUAGCGGGGGAUAACUAUUGGAAACGAUAGCUAAUACCGCAUAAAAUUGAUUAUUGCAUGAUAAUUAAUUGAAAGAUGCAACUGCAUCACUACCAGAUGGACCUGCGUUGUAUUAGCUAGUUGGUGAGGUAACGGCUCACCAAGGCGACGAUACAUAGCCGACCUGAGAGGGUGAUCGGCCACACUGGGACUGAGACACGGCCCAGACUCCUACGGGAGGCAGCAGUAGGGGAUCUUCGGCAAUGGGGGGAACCCUGACCGAGCAACGCCGCGUGAGUGAAGAAGGUUGUCGGAUCGUAAAGCUCUGUUGUAAGAGAAGAACGGGUGUGAGAGUGGAAAGUUCACACUGUGACGGUAUCUUACCAGAAAGGGACGGCUAACUACGUG